rnacentral:rRNA from 1 species
UACGGGGGGGGCAAGCGUUGUUCGGAAUUACUGGGCGUAAAGGGCUCGUAGGUGGCCAACUAAGUCAGACGUGAAAUCCCUCGGCUUAACCGGGGAACUGCAUCUGAUACUGGAUGGCUUGAGUUUGGGAGAGGGAUGCGGAAUUCCAGGUGUAGCGGUGAAAUGCGUAGAUAUCGAGAGGAACACCUGCGGCGAAGGCGGGUUGCUGGGCCGACACUGACGCUGAUGCGCGAAAGCCAGGGGAGCGAACGGG